GACGAACGCUGGCGGCGUGCUUAACACAUGCAAGUCGAACGGAAAGGCCCGGCUUUUGUGGGGUGCUCGAGUGGCGAACGGGUGAGUAACACGUGAGUAACCUGCCCUUGACUUUGGGAUAACUUCAGGAAACUGGGGCUAAUACCGGAUAGGAGCUCCUGCUGCAUGGUGGGGGUUGGAAAGUUUCGGCGGUUGGGGAUGGACUCGCGGCUUAUCAGCUUGUUGGUGGGGUAGUGGCUUACCAAGGCUUUGACGGGUAGCCGGCCUGAGAGGGUGACCGGCCACAUUGGGACUGAGAUACGGCCCAGACUCCUACGGGAGGCAGCAGUGGGGAAUAUUGCACAAUGGGCGGAAGCCUGAUGCAGCAACGCCGCGUGCGGGAUGACGGCCUUCGGGUUGUAAACCGCUGUCGCCUGUGACGAAGCGUGAGUGACGGUAAUGGGUAAAGAAGCACCGGCUAACUACGUG
rnacentral:rRNA from 1 species